GACGAACGCUGGCGGCGUGCUUAACACAUGCCAGUCGAACGGAAAGGCCCUGCUUUUGUGGGGUGCUCGAGUGGCGAACGGGUGAGUAACACGUGAGUAACCUGCCCUUGACUUUGGGAUAACUUCAGGAAACUGGGGCUAAUACCGGAUAGGAGCUCCUGCUGCAUGGUGGGGGUUGGAAAGUUUCGGCGGUUGGGGAUGGACUCGCGGCUUAUCAGCUUGUUGGUGGGGUAGUGGCUUACCAAGGCUUUGACGGGUAGCCGGCCUGAGAGGGUGACCGGCUACAUUGGGACUGAGAUACGGCCCAGACUCCUACGGGAGGCAGCAGUGGGGAAUAUUGCACAGUGGGCGGAAGCCUGAUGCAGCAACGCCGCGUGCGGGAUGACGGCCUUCGGGUUGUAAACCGCUUUCGCCUGUGACGAAGCGUGAGUGACGGUAAUGGGUAAAGAAGCACCGGCUAACUACGUG
rnacentral:rRNA from 1 species